CUGCUCAGGACGAACGCUGGCGGCGUGCAUAAUACAUGCAAGUCGAACGCUUCUUUCCUCCCGAGUGCUUGCACUCAAUUGGAAAGAGGAGUGGCGGACGUGGGUGAGUAACACGUGGGUAACCUACCCAUCAGAGGGGGAUAACACUUGGAAACAGGUGCUAAUACCGCAUAACAGUUUAUGCCGCAUGGCAUAAGAGUGAAAGGCGCUUUCGGGUGUCGCUGAUGGAUGGACCCGCGGUGCAUUAGCUAGUUGGUGAGGUAACGGCUCACCAAGGCCACGAUGCAUAGCCGACCUGAGAGGGUGAUCGGCCACACUGGGACUGAGACACGGCCCAGACUCCUACGGGAGGCAGCAGUAGGGAAUCUUCGGCAAUGGACGAAAGUCUGACCGAGCAACGCCGCGUGAGUGAAGAAGGUUUUCGGAUCGUAAAACUCUGUUGUUAGAGAAGAACAAGGACGUUAGUAACUGAACGUCCCCUGACGGUAUCUAACCAGAAAGCCACGGCUAACUACGUGCCAGCAGCCGCGGUAAUACGUAGGUGGCAAGCGUUGUCCGGAUUUAUUGGGCGUAAAGCGAGCGCAGGCGGUUUCUUAAGUCUGAUGUGAAAGCCCCCGGCUCAACCGGGGAGGGUCAUUGGAAACUGGGAGACUUGAGUGCAGAAGAGGAGAGUGGAAUUCCAUGUGUAGCGGUGAAAUGCGUAGAUAUAUGGAGGAACACCAGUGGCGAAGGCGGCUCUCUGGUCUGUAACUGACGCUGAGGCUCGAAAGCGUGGGGAGCAAACAGGAUUAGAUACCCUGGUAGUCCACGCCGUAAACGAUGAGUGCUAAGUGUUUGGAGGGUUUCCGCCCUUCAGUGCUGCAGCAAACGCAUUAAGCACUCCGCCUGGGGAGUACGACCGCAAGGUUGAAACUCAAAGGAAUUGACGGGGGCCCGCACAAGCGGUGGA
rnacentral:rRNA from 1 species